rnacentral:rRNA from 1 species
AGCGAACGUUUGCGGCGGGCCUAACACAUGCAAGUCGAACGCACUAGCAAUAGUGAGUGGCGCACGGGUGCGUAACACGUGGGUAAUCAACCCUUCAGCUUGGGAUAACGACUUGAAAGGGUCGCUAAUACCGGAUACGGCGCGAGAGGCUUCGGCUUCUCACGAGAAAGCCUCGCAAGGGGCACUGAAGGACGAGCCUGCGGCCCAUCAGCUAGUUGGUGAGGUAAGAGCUCACCAAGGCUAAGACGGGUAGCUGGUCUGAGAGGAUGAUCAGCCACACUGGAACUGAGACACGGUCCAGACUCCUACGGGAGGCAGCAGUGGGGAAUAUUGCGCAAUGGGCGAAAGCCUGACGCAGCCACGCCGCGUGAGCGAUGAAGGCCUCGGUCGGUAAGACGUACUGUGGGUAGGAGGAAGGAAGU